GCUCAAAUCCUCCUCCCCCUUCUCCCUCCCCAACCAAAGCUCUUCCCCCUCAAACUCCCCACCGUGUCGGCUUCCUCUCCCGCCCUCUCCAGUUCCUCCUCCCUGACCCUGACCCCACCUUACCCACCUUCAUGUUCCUUCUCAAGCUCGCACAGCCUUGCAGGCUCUAGCCGACACUGGGGGAUCACCAGUCAGCUCCAAAGGGGGAUCCUGGACGGGUGCCGGGUGCCGGCGCAAGUCCGGGGGACAGUGAACAGGGCCAGUUCCCGACUGGAACCGGCUCCGAGGACAGCAAAAUGCAAGACUGGGUGCAGAGGCUCGUCUUGGACACACACACGCGGCACGGAUGGGAAAUUGUGGCUGGAGAGGAAAGACCGCUCUCCGGAUGGACCAUGGAUGGAUGCUGGGAGUGUUUGUGCACGACUGUAAUCCCAGAGGCCCAGGAGGCUGAGGCAGG